rnacentral:rRNA from 1 species
AUUGAACGCUGGCGGCAGGCUUAACACAUCAGCAACGGAUUGGUGGCGGACGGGUGCGUAACGCUUAAAGAACUUGCCUCACAGCUAGGGACAACAUUUAGAAAUGAAUGCUAAUACCUGACACUGUGAGAGAGCUUUGCGUCCCAUUAGCUAGUUGGAGAGGUAACAGCUCACCAAGGCGAUGAUGGGUAGCCGGCCUGAGAGGGUGAACGGCCACAAGGGGGCAGAGGCACGGACCUUAAUCCUACGGGAGGAAGCAGUGGGAAAUAUUGGACAAUGGACCAAAGUCUGAUACAGCAAUUCGGUGUGCACGAUGAAGUUUUCGGGAUGUAAAGUGCUUUCAGUUGAGAAGCGGUACCAACAGAAGAAGUGACGGCUAAAUACGUGCCAGCAGCCGCGGUAAUAC